ensembl:misc_RNA Metazoa_SRP Metazoan signal recognition particle RNA
GCCGGGCAUGGCAGUGGAUGCCUGUAAUCCCAGCUACUUGGGAGGCUGAGGCAGGAGAAUCGCUUGAACCUGGGAAGUGGAGGUUGCAGUGAGCCAAGAUUGCACCACUGCACUCCAGCCUGGGCAAUAGAGCGAGACCCUGUCUCAA